rnacentral:rRNA from 1 species
GAUGAACGCUGGCGGCAGGCUUUACACAUGCAAGUCGAGCGGUAACGAUUAUUUUCGUAAGAUUAUAAGGCGACGAGCGGCAAACGAGUGAGUAACACGUAAGAACUAACUUUUAGCUUGGAAUAGCUAGUCGAAAGGCUAGAUAAUACCAAAUGUGAAUGCAAAUUUAAAGGCUUCGGCCACUAAAAGCAAGGCUUGCGUCCCAUCAGCUAGUUGGUAAGGUAAUUGCUUACCAAGGCUAAGACGGGUAGCUGGUCUGAGAGGAUGAUCAGCCACGCUGGAACUGUGACACGGUCCAGACAUCUACGGAUGGCAGCAGUGAGGAAUAUUCGGCAAUGGAGGAAACUCUGACCGAGCCAUGCCGCGUGCAGGACUAAGGCCUUAAAGGUUGUAAACUGCUGUGGUUGUCUACUAAUAAAUGAAGAGACAUCUAGAAAGAGGUUGCUAACUCUG